rnacentral:rRNA from 1 species
GAGUUUGAUCCUGGCUCAGGACGAACGCUGGCGGCGUGCCUAACACAUGCAAGUCGAACGGAACUUCUUUAAAGGAUUUCUUCGGAAUGAAUUUGAUUAAGUUUAGUGGCGGACGGGUGAGUAACGCGUGAGCAACCUGACCUUUUGAGGGGGAUAACACCUGGAAACAAGUGCUAAUACCGCAUAAGACCACGGAGCGGCAUCGUUCAGGGGUCAAAGGAGGAAUCCGCAGAAGGAGGGGCUCGCGUCCCAUUAGAUAGUAGGCGGGGUAACGGCCCACCUAGUCGACGAUGGGUAGCCGAGCUGAGAGGCUGAUCGGCCACACUGGAACUGAGACACGGUCCAGACUCCUACGGGAGGCAGCAGUGGGGAAUAUUGGGCAAUGGGCGCAAGCCUGACCCAGCAACGCCGCGUGAGGGAAGAAGGCUUUCGGGUUGUAAACCUCUGUCCUUGGUGACGAAGGAAGUGACGGUAGCCAAGGAGGAAGCCCCGGCUAACUACGUGCCAGCAGCCGCGGUAAUUC